AAAGGAAUUGACGGGGGCCCGCACAAGCGGUGGAACAUGUGGUUUAAUUCGAUGCUACGCGAGAAACCUUACCAGGGCUCGAAGUGUAAGAAGUAAGAACUUGAAAGAGGGAUGACAGGUAUCCAAUCCUGAACUUAUAUAGGUGCUGCAUGGUUGUCGUCAGCUCGUGCCGUGAGGUGUCGCCUUAAGUGGCUUAACGAGCGCAACCCUCGCAUUUAGUUGCUAGUUAUCUAUAUGAUAGCGCACUCUAAAUGGACUGCCCGUGUUAAACGGGAGGAAGGCGGGGACGACGUCAAAUCAGCAUGGCCCUUAUGUCCUGGGCUACACACGUGUUACAAUGCUCGAUACAACGAGAGGCUAAACCGCGAGGUCAAGCAAAUCUCUAAAAGUCGAGCCCAGUUCGGAUUGUAGGCUGCAACUCGCCUGCAUGAAGUCGGAAUCGCUAGUAAUGGCGCAUCAGCUACGGCGCCGUGAAUACGUUCCCGGGCCUUGUACACACCGCCCGU
rnacentral:rRNA from 1 species